ACCCGACGCCACCCCGGCGGAGGCCGGGGCCCAGUUGGGUGAACCUUCGAGGUAGAGUCGCACAGCCUUCCCAACUGGGCCCCGGCCUUCGCCGGGGUGGUGCGUAGG
rnacentral:miRNA from 1 species